GACAGAGGGUGCAAACGUUGUUCGGAAUUACUGGGCGUAAAGCGUGUGUAGGCGGUCCGCUAAGUCGGGUGUGAAAGCCCUGGGCUCAACCCAGGAAGUGCACUCGAAACUGGCGGGCUAGAGUAUCGGAGAGGUUGGUGGAAUUCUCGGUGUAGAGGUGAAAUUCGUAGAUAUCGAGAGGAACACCGGUGGCGAAGGCAGCCUCCUGGGUCGACACUGACGCUCAGGCACGAAAGCGUGGGGAGCAAACAGG
rnacentral:rRNA from 1 species